AUCGCUUCUCGGCCUUUUGGCUAAGAUCAAGUGCAAAAAUCUGAUGAAUUAAAUAAAAAAUAAUAAUAACCACAUAAGUGCAGAGAUAUUUCAUAUCCAUGGAUAAGAAGGCUCAAUAUUGUCAAGAUGUCUGUUCUUCCCAACUUUAUCUGUAGAUUCAA
ensembl:snRNA U2 U2 spliceosomal RNA